rnacentral:rRNA from 1 species
GACGAACGCUGGCGGCGUGCUUAACACAUGCAAGUCGAACGAUGAAGCGGUGCUUGCACCGUGGAUUAGUGGCGAACGGGUGAGUAAUACGUGAGUGACCUACCUUUGACUCUGGGAUAAGCCUGGGAAACUGGGUCUAAUACCGGAUACGACCAAUCUCUGCAUGGGGUGUUGGUGGAAAGCGUUAUGGAGUGGUUUUAGAUGGGCUCACGGCCUAUCAGCUUGUUGGUGAGGUAAUGGCUUACCAAGGCGACGACGGGUAGCCGGCCUGAGAGGGUGACCGGCCACACUGGGACUGAGACACGGCCCAGACUCCUACGGGAGGCAGCAGUGGGGAAUAUUGCACAAUGGGCGCAAGCCUGAUGCAGCGACGCCGCGUGAGGGAUGACGGCCUUCGGGUUGUAAACCUCUGUUAGCAUCGAAGAACCGAAAGUGACGGUAGGUGCAGAGAAAGCGCCGGCUAACUACGUG